ACGGGUGAGUAACGCGUGGGAAUCUACCCAUCUCUACGGAAUAACGCAUGGAAACGUGUGCUAAUACCGUAUACGUCCUUCGGGAGAAAGAUUUAUCGGAGAUGGAUGAGCCCGCGUUGGAUUAGCUAGUUGGUGGGGUAAAGGCCUACCAAGGCGACGAUCCAUAGCUGGUCUGAGAGGAUGAUCAGCCACACUGGGACUGAGACACGGCCCAGACUCCUACGGGAGGCAGCAGUGGGGAAUAUUGGACAAUGGGCGCAAGCCCGAUCCAGCCAUGCCGCGUGAGUGAUGAAGGCCCUAGGGUUGUAAAGCUCUUUCACCGGUGAAGAUAAUGACGGUAACCGGAGAAGAAGCCCCGGCUAACUUCGUGCCAGCAGCCGCGGUAAUACGAAGGGGGCUAGCGUUGUUCGGAUUUACUGGGCGUAAAGCGCACGUAGGCGGACUAUUAAGUCAGGGGUGAAAUCCCGGGGCUCAACCCCGGAACUGCCUUUGAUACUGGUAGUCUUGAGUUCGAGAGAGGUGAGUGGAAUUCCGAGUGUAGAGGUGAAAUUCGUAGA
rnacentral:rRNA from 1 species